rnacentral:rRNA from 1 species
UACGUAGGUGGCAAGCGUUGUCCGGAAUCAUUGGGCGUAAAGAGCGCGUAGGCGGCCCUGUAAGUCCGCUGUGAAAGUCAAGGGCUCAACCCUUGGAUGCCGGUGGAUACUGCAGGGCUAGAGUUCGGAAGAGGCGAGUGGAAUCCUGGUGUAGCGGUGAAAUGCGCAGAUAUCAAGGAGGAACACCGAUGGCGAAGGCAG